AUUGAACGCUGGCGGCAUGCCUUACACAUGCAAGUCGAACGGCAGCGGGGGAGAAGCUUGCUUUUCCUGCCGGCGAGUGGCGAACGGGUGAGUAAUACAUCGGAACGUGCCCUGUAGUGGGGGAUAACUAGUCGAAAGAUUAGCUAAUACCGCAUACGACCUGAGGGUGAAAGUGGGGGACCGCAAGGCCUCAUGCUAUAGGAGCGGCCGAUGUCUGAUUAGCUAGUUGGUGGGGUAAAGGCCUACCAAGGCGACGAUCAGUAGCUGGUCUGAGAGGACGAUUAGCCAACCUGGGACUGAGACGAGGCCCAGACGACUACGGGAGGGAGCAGUGGGGAAUUUUGGACAGUGGGCGAAAGCCUGAUCCAGCAAUGCGGCGUGUGUGAAGAAGGCCUUCGGGUUGUAACGCACUUUUGUCCGGAAAGAAAUGGCUCUGGUUAAUACCUGGGGUCGAUGACGGUACCAGAAGAAUAAGGACCGGCUAACUACGUGCCAGCCGCCGCAGUAACAC
rnacentral:rRNA from 1 species